UGGGGAAUAUUGGGCAAUGGGCGCAAGCCUGACCCAGCAACGCCGCGUGAAGGAAGAAGGCUUUCGGGUUGUAAACUUCUUUUGUCAGGGACGAGUAGAAGACGGUACCUGACGAAUAAGCCACGGCUAACUACGUGCCAGCAGCCGCGGUAAUACGUAGGUGGCAAGCGUUGUCCGGAUUUAUUGGGUUUAAAGGGUGCGUAGGCUGUAAGUCAAGUCAGCGGUGAAAAGUCGGGGCUAAACCUUGAGGGUGCCGUUGAAACUGAUUUACUAGAAUGUGGAUGAUGCCGGCGGAAUGUGUCAAGUAGCGGUGAAAUGCAUAGAUAUGACACAGAAGGCCGAUUGCGAAGGCAGCUGGCAAAGGCACGAUUGACGCUGAGGCACGAAAGUGCGGGGAUCGAACAGGAUUAGAUACCCUGGUAGU
rnacentral:rRNA from 1 species